ACUAACACCACUCUUUAGUCAGAAUGUGGGAAAGGAAGAGUCAAAGGUAAGUGUAAGAAUCUAGUCCCUUUCUUAUUCUUAUCACAAUUAUGCUGUAGGCAUGCUGUGUUCCAUGGUACUCUAAGACCAUUCUAUCAUAUUCUAUGAUUCUAUUCUAUGAAUCCCAUCAGAGUGUAAUGAAGUAUUUAAGCGUGCUGGCCCAGGAUCACGCUUUAAGGAGCAAAGAAAUCAAGCUGUUUAAACUGUACAACAACCGCAAAACUACAUCUACCUGGUGAACAAAAGAAAAACCAACAGCGGAGAGUUAUCUUUACAUAUCACAUAGACAGCCAUAAAAAUGUUUUGUGUUAAUGACUUAAAAGAAAUAGAAA